rnacentral:snRNA from 1 species
GUGUGAGAGCAAUUGGACUGUGACGUCUGUCAUCCCAAUGAUCUCUAGGGUUGAUUAGGCUGAUCUAGCUGGCUAGUCAUGUGUUCCCUUCCUCUCUAUUUGCUCCACAUGCAUCCCUCCCAAAGCUGCAUGCUCUGUCAAAGACAAUGACCUUCCCUGAUACAGGAGGACCACGGCUUGGUAUGGGAGUAGCUGUACUCACUCUGUUGCUAUAAUCUCCAAACAAGUUGAUAAGAUGGACUGGAUGCUGAGCUGCUUCCUUCUCUUUCUCCUCAUUCAAACACAAGGAUAUACUUAGGGGUAAAAGGUUUU